GCAAACUUGGUCAUUUAGAGGAAGUAAAAGUCGUAACAAGGUUUCCGUAGGUGAACCUGCGGAAGGAUCAUUGCCAAUGUGGCUGUGGGAGCUCGCCGCUUCGGCGGAGGGCGACCACAGCUUUACACAUCAACAAAAAGCCCUUUGUGAACCUGGCUGUGAGAGACCUGAAGGUCCCUCUCUGGGCGGGGCCGCACUCCCUCGUGGAGUGGACGCGCCUCUCACAGCCCCCCCAAACAAACCCCCUUUUUUAUAUGCCUUCUUUCAAAGACUGAAGACUUAAAAAAAAAACAAAACAUUCUUACAACUUUUAACAAUGGAUAUCUUGGCUCGCGCAUCGAUGAAGAACGCAGC
rnacentral:misc_RNA from 1 species